ACCAGACUCCUACGGGAGGCAGCAGUGGGGGAUAUUGCACAAUGGGGGGAACCCUGAUGCAGCGACGCCGCGUGGGUGAAGGAGCGUUUCGGCGCGUAAAGCCCUAUCGGCAGGGAAGAAGGAGGACGGUACCUGACUAAGAAGCCCCGGCUAACUACGUGCCAGCAGCCGCGGUAAUACGUAGGGGGCAAGCGUUAUCCGGAUUUACUGGGUGUAAAGGGGGCGCAGACGGCAGCGCAAGCCAGGAGUGAAAGCCCACGGCCCAACCGUGGGACUGCUCUGGAAACUGUGCGGCUUGAGUGCGGGAGGGGCAGGCGGAAUUCCUAGUGUAGCGGUGAAAUGCGUAGAUAUUAGGAGGAACACCGGCGGCGAAGGCGGCCUGCUGGACCGUAACUGACGCUGAGGAGCGAAAGCGUGGGUAGCAAACAGGAUUAGAUACCCCAGUAA
rnacentral:rRNA from 1 species